AUUAGAUACCCUGGUAGUCCACGCCGUAAACGGUGGGUACUANGUGUGGGUUUCCUUCCUUGGGAUCCGUGCCGUAGCUAACGCAUUAAGUACCCCGCCUGGGGAGUACGGCCGCAAGGCUAAAACUCAAAGAAAUUGACGGGGGCCCGCACAAGCGGCGGAAGCGGCGGAGCAUGUGGAUUAAUUCGAUGCAACGCGAAGAACCUUACCUGGGUUUGACGUGCACAGGACGCCAGUAGAGAUAUUGGUUCCCUUGUGGCCUGUGUGCAGGUGGUGCAUGGCUGUCGUCAGCUCGUGUCGUGAGAUGUUGGGUUAAGUCCCGCAACGAGCGCAACCCUUGUCCUAUGUUGCCAGCGGGUUAUGCCGGGGACUCGUAGGAGACUGCCGGGGUCAACUCGGAGGAAGGUGGGGAUGACGUCAAGUCAUCAUGCCCCUUAUGUCCAGGGCUUCACACAUGCUACAAUGGCCGGUACAAAGGGCUGCGAUGCCGUGAGGUGGAGCGAAUCCUUUCAAAGCC
rnacentral:rRNA from 1 species